rnacentral:rRNA from 1 species
AUUGAACGCUGGCGGAAUGCUUUACACAUGCAAGUCGAACGGCAGCACGGGGCAACCUGGUGGCGAGUGGCGAACGGGUGAGUAAUACAUCGGAACGUGCCCAAUCGUGGGGAUAACGUAGCGAAAGUUACGCUAAUACCGCAUACGAUCUACGGAUGAAAGCGGGGGAUCGCAAGACCUCGCGCGAAUGGAGCGGCCGAUGUCAGAUUAGGUAGUUGGUGGGGUAAAGGCUCACCCAAGCCAACGAUCUGUAGCUGGUCUGAGAGGACGACCAGCCACACUGGAACUGAGCACGGUCCAGACUCCUACGGGAGCAGCAGUGGGAUUUUGGACAAUGGGCGCAAGCCUGAUCCAGUCCAUUCCGCGUG